rnacentral:rRNA from 1 species
CUACGGAGGGUCCGAGCGUUAAUCGGAAUUACUGGGCGUAAAGCGCGCGUAGGCGGAUACUUAAGUCAGAUGUGAAAUCCCUGGGCUCAACCUAGGAACUGCAUUUGAAACUGGAUAUCUAGAGUAUGGUAGAGGUGAGUGGAAUUUCAGGUGUAGCGGUGAAAUGCGUAGAGAUCUGAAGGAACAUCAGUGGCGAAGGCGACUCACUGGGCCAUUACUGACGCUGAGGUGCGAAAGCGUGGGUAGCAAACAGGAUUAGAAACCCUAGUAGUCC